rnacentral:rRNA from 1 species
AGUUCGAUCAUGGCUCAGAUUGAACGCUGGCGGGAUGCUUUACAUGCAAGUCGAACGGCAGCACGGACUUCGGUCUGGUGGCGAGUGGCGAACGGGUGAGUAAUGUAUCGGAACGUGCCUAGUAGCGGGGGAUAACUACGCGAAAGCGUAGCUAAUACCGCAUAUUGUUCUUCGGGGAAAGCGGGGGGACCUUCGGGCCUCGCACUAUUAGAGCGGCUGAUAUCGGAUUAGCUAGUUGGUGGGGUAACGGUCACCAAGGCGACGAUCCGUAGCUGGUUUGAGAGGACGACCAGCCACACUGGGACUGAGACAUGGCCCAGACUCACGGGAGGCAGCAGUGGGGAAUUUUGGACAAUGGGGGAAACCCCGAUCCAGCCAUCCCGUGGUGUGCGCGAUGAAGGCCUUCGGGUUGCAAAGCACUUUUGGCAGGAAAGAAACGGCACGGGAUAAUACUCCCGCAACUGGACGGUACCUGCAGAAUAAGCACCGGCUAACUACGCCAGCAGCCGCAGUAAUACGUAGGGUAAGCGUUAAUCGGAAUUACUGGGCGGCAGGCGGUUCGGAAAGAAAGGAUGCGGAAAUCCCGAGCUUAAUCUGAAACCGGCAUUUAACUACCGAGCUAGAGCAGGCGUUUCAGAGGAGGUGAAAUUCGUGUAGCAGUGAAAUGCGUAGAUAUGCGGAGGAACAAUUGAUGGCGAAGGCAGCCUCCUGGGAUAACACUGACGCUCAUGCACGAAAGCGUGGGGAGCAAACAGGAUUAGAUACCCUGGUAGUCCACGCCCUAAACGAUGUCAACUAGCUGUUGUGGGCUCGGCCCGUAGGUAGCGCAGCUAACGUGGUGGCUGACCGCCUGGGGAGUACGGUCGCAAGAUUAAAACUCAAAGGAAUUGACGGGGACCCGCACAAGCGGUGGAUGAUGUGGAUUAAUUCGAUGCAACGCGGAAAAAACUUAACGCGAAUUUCGCGAUAUGUUCAAUCCGAAGAGAUUUGGGAGUGCUCGCAAGAGAACCGGAACACAGGUGCUGCAUGGCUGUCGUCAGCUCGUGUCGUGAGAUGUUGGGUUAAGUCCCGCAACGAGCGCGCAACCCUUGUCAUUAGUUGCUACGAAAGGGCACUCUAAUGAGACUGCCGGUGACAAACCGAGGAAGGUGGGGAUGACGUCAAGUCCUCAUGGCCCUUAUGGGUAGGGCUUCACACGUCAUACAAUGGUCGGGACAGAGGGUCGCCAACCCGCGAGGGGGAACCAAUCCCAGAAACCCGAUCGUGGUCCGGAUCGCAGUCUGCAACUCGACUGCGUGAAGUCGGAAUCGCUAGUAAUCGCGGAUCAGCAUGUCGCGGUGAAUACGUUCCCUGGUCUUGUACACACCGCCCGCCUUCCACAUCACGUGGCGGGGUUUUACCAGAAGGAAGUAGUCAACUGCAGGAGGGCGAUUACCAAUGGUAGUAUUCAUGACUGGGGUGAAGUCGUAACAAGGUAA